ACACGACUACAUUAGAUACCCGGGUAGUCCUGGCCGUAAACGAUGUGGACUUGGUGUUGGAAUGGCUCCGAGCUGCUCCAGUGCUGUAGGGUAGCCGUUAAACUCGCUGCCUGGGAGUACGGUCGCAAGGCUGAAACUUAAAGGAAUUGGCGGGGAGCACCACAAGAGGUGGAGGCUGCGGUUCAAUUGGACUCAACGCCGGAAAACUCAUCGGGAGCGACAGCAGUAUGAUCGCCAGGUUGAUGACCUUGCUUGACAAGCUG
rnacentral:rRNA from 1 species